ACAGAGAUCACAGACAGUGUCUCUGGGGGCUCUGUACAGGGGGGUUCCUGACCCCUGCCAGGGUCCCAGGCCUUCCAGAGCAGCCAGAGGGAAGCCCUGGAUUCCCACAGGCUGUCAAUUACAUUAGCAAAGGGGGCAUACUUACCAUGCCAUAGGGUGGGCAUCAGUCAAGCUGGGUGUGAAAGGGCAGGAGCCACAGGGUGUGCAGAGGCUGAGCUCCCCAAGACUUGCAAAGGCUGAAUAAAGCACAGCACUUGCAGUGGUGCACCUCUGAUGCCUUGUGAAGGCUGACCUAGAACAGAGACUAGAUGGAGGUAAGAAUAAAGUACGUAUUUAUUAAGAGGCCUCAAUAGAUCCACCUUGGACAGCACAAGAGCCCAGCUGGGGCAACACCCCAGAUGAACCCAAAAUGGUCACAAAAUGGAUGACUAGUCAUGGGGUCUCACACUUUUAUAAGUUUUGGGCCAUUAGCAUAAUGGAGUCAAUUGUCCAAUUACAGCUUUAGCCCAUGAAGUCCCAUCCUUCUUGUUUUUCUCUCUUUGAUCUACUGUUAUUUGUGCUUUUGGGCCUGAGGUCUGGAUCACCUGUCCUUGGUCCCCAGCUAGAGAAGGAAUUGUUUUGUCCACCUGUGGACAAAAUACCUGUGUGUAAGCUCUGUGAAGAGAGCUUACUAUCCCCUAGUAUGAAGCCCAGACCCACACACUAAAGCAGCACAGAAUCUGUGCUGUGCUGUGAGGUCACAGGCUGCACCACCAGAAGUGUGCUGGACCUCUUAGAGAUGUUUGUGAGUGCUCUUGAAUUCUCUUGGAGCUGGAUGUGGUGUGUGCUGGACCUCUAGAGAUUUGUGUGAGUGCUCUGGAAUUCUCUUAGAGCUGGAUGUGGUGUGGGCAGUGUGUGUGCUGCUGUGUGUACUUGUGUGGUGGUCCUGCUGUCCUUCGAGGUGAAGCUGUAUUUUAACAGUGUGUGAGGAGGUAUUUUAAAGGUUGCUUUGGUGCUCUGAGUGGGCUUCAUGUUGUCCUCUGAGCCUGUAAGAGGCUUACUGGAAGACUGCUAAACAUUGUGUCAUCUGUCCUUGAAAUUGCCUCAUGAGCAAGGCAGUGGGGAUACUGCUGGGCAGGAAAAGGGAACAUUGGCUGAGCUGUGUUUCAGGAGGUAUUUUCCUGCUCUUUCCUUUGCCAUUCCCCACAAAGAGUCAAAAUUAGAUGACAAAAUAGGAAAUGGAUCCUCCCCAAAAAAUGCCACCCUCAAAACCAAUAAAGAUUGGAAAGGAGUGUGCACGAAUUUAGAGUGUGCAGCAAAGUGCCUGGUCUGGUUUGUUCUGUGCCUGAAGGCUGAGCAAGCAGCUGUGAGUGAAAUCAUAUACAAGUGCACACACGUGUGUGCACACACACAAACACAGAGCUCUGCAUUUGCCAGUCAGAGUGCAGUAGCCUGCACCCUGCAUAUGAAAUAUCAUGUCUGUGCUCAAGGUCCAUCAUCUGAGAGGGUUGUGCUGUCAGGACCUACAAAGGAGAGAAUCAUUGCUAUAUACAUUGCUGGAAAACCUGAAAGGUUGCAGAAGCGGGACUAACUGUGCUGUUUAGGCUUCUUUUUUACAUUUUAUUUAUUAAAAUGCUCUAGAUGCAGAGUAGCUCUUCUCAUUAUUUAUAACUGUCGCUGCUGCCUUGAAAUGAAACUGCUGGCACUUUGAUAAAUGUGGUGAAAGCUUGUCUGGUGUCCCUGCUACUUCUCUAAAGUGCCUCCUGCGUCCUCUGCUGAAUUGCUGUUUCAUCAGUUUGGACAGCAGUGUUCCUCAGCAAAUUGCAGUAAAAGUCUCUUGCAUCAUCCCAUGCUAAUGGAAAUGGAGCAGGAGGGAGUGAGCCUGUGCCAUGAGCAUCCUGUAAGUGCUAGGCAGAGCAGGGACAGGAGGAAGAAGACAGCCCUGCUGAGCCCCACUCACCUCUCCAUCCUGGUGAGUUUGGUGGGAUAAAGGCUCCUGUUCAGGGUUGCUGUGAGCAUGUUUUUCUUUUGCCUUGUGCUGACAGCUAGGAUGUCAUUCCUGUUUGAAUUGCCUGUGCCCAAGGGCAAAAAUUAAGUUGUUCCAGCCUCAGCCCCUCCUUCCCAUCAUCUCAGUGGCCAUGGUGUCAGGACAGUCAAGUGAUGGGCUGUACUGGGGCUGUCCUGAUAGCUGAGUGCAGGGACCUUUUAGAAAGCUGGAAGCAUGCAAAUCCCCUGAGAUUAGAGAAAGCUAAAAUGUUGACAUUGAAGAAUCUAUUGACCAAAACAAAGGGAGAAAGUUUGUUUAAAACAACCAGCCAACAACCAACCAACAAAGAAACUAACCAACAGCAACGAAGAGGAAGCAUCUCAAAACCUUGACUUCUCCUUUGAACAGAGGGACUUGCUCUUAGAUCAUUUUACUAAGCAGAAGCUGCACUUGUGUUGAAGCAAGCCUGUCAGGAUGAUGAGGCAAUGGAAAACUUGUUUUACAAGGGGAGAUUAGAAGAGCUUGGACUGUUUAGCCUGAGGAAAAUGGUAGGGGGAGUAUGGGAGUGCUCUGUAAAUAUGUUAGCAGGUAAACAGGGUGAAAAGGGAAGAGUUUUUUUAAGGCUAAAGGAAGGUGUUUGCAACAGUACAGGCUCUGAUAAAUCAAUUGUGGUAAUCUAGUCUAGGAAUUAAACCAUGGUUUCAUACUGCAAGGUGGGAGAAAUUUGGAGAGCAGCUUCCAAACAGGACAACAGAAACAAAAUUCCCAGUCAGGCUUUAAGAGGAGUCUUGAUCUGUCUGUGAAGGGGAUUGUAUUAAGAGGGCCAGGCUCUGUGUGCCAGCAGAUUCUGUUCUAUGCUGCUUCCUGUAUUUCUAGUCCCACAUAACUGUUCAGGCUUUUUGUAUGAGAUGUGCAUAGAUAGAAAUCAUAAAUUAAACUGAGUGGUUUGCAACUUGAAACUAAUUUGUUUGGGGCAUGUGUUUUUUUGUUUUGGUUUUUGUAAUUUGGUUUUGGUUUCUUUUUUUUUUUUUUUCCCAUGGCUUCUUUUAGGGUGUCCUUUUGACCCGAAUAUGCCACAGCAGCAUGUCACCCAGUGCCCAGGUUUCCCCUUCCUCGUCCUAGAGCCGUCUCACUUUUGUGCAAGCUGUUUCCACCAAUGCAUAGCACAACUCAGCACUUUUGGGGGAUGAAAGCUAUUUACCAGCUAAGAGGGCAAAAGUACAAAACUAUUUUCAGCUCUGUGACCCACCUCGGCCAAUUGGAUUGUGUCUGAUAAUCCUAUUUGGUGGAGAUGGGUUCACAUAACCUAAAAUAGUUUCUGCUCUUUGCCUUCACCUCCGACUCUGGUGCCUACACAGCAACUGGGCUGGGGUGCCUGUGCCCUAAGACCUGACCUCCAGAAGGGAGAAGGGCAGUGUGAGAGCUUGGGCUGAAGCUCCUUUCCAGGAGGUUGUCCCUUUAUCCUCACUGGUGUCCUGUGGGGUGAUGCCCUUGAGCCAUGGUGUGAGGUUGCUCUCCACCCCUGUUGAAUUAGGCAUGGAUGUGUCUAACUCUGACCUUCUAAUUACAGCCCAGGCAUCAGUCUUGGCUUGUCCUUUUGGUGAGGAACAGUAUUUUGGAUUGCCACUGCAGCACUUUCAUUUUUGCCUGCACUCCCACCUACUCCAUGUGUAGCCUGGAAUGGGCAGGAAGGAAUUAAAUCAGAUGAAGAAAAGGACAUCGUGUUGGCUCAGCAAGGGCACUGGAUUUGGAUCCAGCACGAAGAUGAGCAGCCAGCAUAAAACCUGGGCGAGGUUUCGGAGUAAAUAAUACACCCAGUUCCUCUCACGGUGUCAUUUGCACUAGAUGUCUUGGAAACCAGAGCCUCAGUUGGACAGACAAGCCUGCACCCACUGGAAUUGAAAGGAUCUUUCCAGCCUGAGUGCUGGCAUCCCUAGAGGGAUUUCCUUCUAGGCUUUCUCAGUUUACCUGGACAAUAGUCAUAAGCUUAGCCUUCCUUGCACAUGCUUUAAUCUCAUGUUUCAGACUGUCUGCUAGUCAUCUGUAGGGUCAGGAGGACAUUUCUCUCUCUGAUCAGUAUGGCAGAUCUGCUGCAAUCUGGUUGGGUUUUUAUUCCUUCUCAGUACUUUAGGGCACAUUUUACUUUUUCAAAUUUCUGGGCGCUUUUGCCUAAGAAGUUACACCUGAUGGUGAAGGCUGAACAUUGCAGGGUGUCAGUGGAGUGCUUUAUGUGCAUUCCUGCCCCUGGGCACUCUGCAUUUACAGCUUUGGGUGCUGUCAGCAGCACAGGACACCAAGAGGAGGGUAAAGUUUCUCUUUGUGGGACCUUUUCAUAUCAAAAUGCCCAUUGCCAGACUGCCAGAAAUUGCAUGGUGUUUCCAGUCCAUCUUUCCUAGUGACUGGGAUGCAAUUCAUCCAAGGACUGGCAGGGUGCUCGCUGUCUGUGGUGGGGAUCUGGCUUCCUUGGGGACUGCCACCGAGUUUUCCUGCAUCCUACUCCAAAUGUCCUCAACCUGCUCAGAUCUAAGGGCUGCUGUGCUCCCCCUCCUUCCCUCUUCCCCUGUGAAUUUUGUCAUUCACCUUAUUUAGUUCAGAAUUGCAGCAGCCAGGGUAUUUAAAAAAAAAUAAACUAAACAUCUUUCAGUAAUAUGCAUUUAGAAACAAGCCUACAGGGUGCUUAAUUAAACCAAAUGUGAUGGGAGGCAGCCAAAAGGCAUGUGUGGUGUGUGUGUGCACAGACAGCUGGCCAUGGGGGAGCAGCACGUGUGUACGUGUGGGUGAGAGAGGGAAUGAAAGAUCUGGUUAAAUGGAUCCUUUCUAUCCGAGCUCUAAAUAUAAUGUUCUUAAAUGAGGAACCCAUGAGAAAACAACAAUCCCCUCAUGAAAUAUGUGGAGAGGCUUGUGCCAGGAAAAGGUCAGCAGCCUGGCUUUGCAGGGCUAGCACAGCUGUAGGCUGGGGUGACUGAGGGUUUUGGUGGGGAAGAGAUAUCCCAGCCAGCCCUCUCCUGGGUACAGGGACUAGAUUUUCCUGCUGGAUUCAAGCUGGAAGGCUGAUGGCUCUCACCUAGUUUGAAAGAGACAAAAGGCAGGCUGGGAGAGGGAUGUGUGGGCUUUUCUUUUACCCAGGCUUUGGUUCCUGACAGGAAGUGGAAAGAGGAAUGGAAACAAAGCUAUGAAUUUCAACUCCUGUUUUGUCCCUGGCAUCCAUAAAAUCUAUACCUCUUUCCUUCAUGAGCUAAUUACCACCUGGAUAUCAUAAGGACCUGAUUUUAUUUUCUUCUUCAGUUACUUUGGAAGACACAGAGAAACCUAGGUGUACUGGGGGAAGUAAUUCUGACCUACUAGACCUGCCUUUUCUUUUUAAAUCAGUUUCAUAGAAUCAUCUACACAGUGUGUCCAGUUUUUUUUUUCAGCUUGUGUUCUCUAUUUGCCAAAAAUAUUUAGCUUCUUCCCUUUCACAGCCCUGCAGAGUCCCUCCUCAUUUGCCUACUAUUGUAAAUGCAGGCAAACCCAAUGGGAAGAAAUGACAAUGUUCAACUCUAGUUCAGAAGGCUGAAUGAUUUCUUUAUUAUAACUAUGCUAAAAUACAUUAAUAUACUAUAUAAAAAGAAGAUAAUAAAACUACAUACUACUUUCUCUGACUCUGUCUCUAACACGACUUGUGACCCUCUCCCAAGAGUUCAGUCCCAGGUGGGUUGGAUUUGCCAUCAGGCUCAAACAAUGCUCACCAGAAUCCAAUCAAGCACUCACCCCGGUAAACAAUUGUCCAAACACAUUCCACGUGGGAAAAACAAGGAGCAGAAAUAGAAAUGGUUUUCUCUUUUAUUUCUCUCUGUGCACCUCUAUGAAAAAUCCUGAGAGUGAGAGAAAUGUGCUUGCCACAGCUUACCUCUGCUGUCCCAGAAAAGGGAGGCAGAGGACCCUGGUGCCUGGUAGCUUUCCCUGGUGGGAGCCCUCAGGGAAAGCUCAGGGCUUUCUCUCCUCACGGAGAGCUGCCCUUUUCUGGGGAGCUGAGGAUGUAAAUGUGCCGUGUGCCCGCAGCGGGUCCUGCAGUGAGCAGCUCUCCUGCUGCCAGUGGUACAGGGUGUGAGUACCACAGCUGUGUGCAAAGCCAGCAUCAUCCUCCUGUGCCUGAUGCCCACUUAAAAACAAGGGGGAGCAGAAAAAGGGUUUUUGUUUUCUAGCUGAAAUAGCUUCAACGAGUCACGGGCACAGUCGCUGUAAAUGCAGCUGUUGUGUGUGGCCCUGGGAUGACUGGCUCUGUUGUGCAUCAGGCCCACAGGGGCUCCUCUGAGCUGGGGGCUGGUGAAAGCCACAAGAUGGGAUGGUGGGAAAGGAUUGCCACAAGGAUGGAGGUUUGCCAUCCAUUGCAAAUAGCCUUGCAGCUGAGAGGUUUGCUGAGUGUGAGGUGUAGCUGUGGCUGCUGCUAGCUUCUCAGCCACAGGACAGCAGUGAGCCAUCAUGCUAGCUGGAAUAAGAGGAAUAUUGCAUCAAUUAUGGUGGCUUUGUAGUCUGUGAAGCCUGCGGUCCUGUGCCUUCUCUGAAAUUCAGGUUGGUGAAAAGAAUUAGGGUGGAAGGGCCCAUCUAGUCCACCUGCAGGCAGAGCAGUGCAGCUUGUAAUUUUACAUUAAGGACUUCCAGCUGCACUUUUGCUGUCAGGUUUGGCAACUGCGCCUUUCUCUGGCUUCCCAGUGAGCUCUAGACUGCCUCAGCACAUGUGGAGCCAUUGUAUGUGUUGAGUUGUAAAGGAGGGUGGAUGCUCUGUCGAGAUCCUGGUUCAAGCUGCUCCUCCACAAUGCCAUUUCUGCGCCACAGCAGGUAAUGCAGGUUCUUAUUGGCUCUAAUUAAUGCUCCUGGCAGUGAUGACAAGUGGCCUGCAGAAGUGUGAAUCUAGUUUAAGGAGACUAAGAAGCCAAAAGAAAAAAAAGAAAAGAAAGAAAGCCUUCUAAUCUGAUCCAUUAUGCUCAGGCCAAGAGAUCAGCAAAAUGAUCAAGGGAGGAAGAGAAACAACUUCUGGCUACUAGAUUUUGCAAGCCUAUCCAGGCCAAGUGCUGGGGGUAACUAUUAAAUGAUUGUGGCACACUGAACAUCAAUCUUGUAACAAGCUUGGAUAAUACCCUCUGGUGAAUUAACAAGGACUGCUGAUAUCUAAGUGCUUUUCAGCUGUGUGUUGCCAGGAAUAAGUCUCAGUUCUGGGGGGCCUGAGUCUCUCCUCAGUCUGAGUUUAAUUCCCUCCCAUCUGCUGUCUGCAUUUCCCGACGAUCCUCACCCAAGUAGGGCACCGUGUGUGUUUUGAGGGGAGUGGGGACAUGCUGGGCUCUCCGUGGGCUGACAUUUCCCAGGCAGAGAAUUUCUGCUGUGUGGGAAUGUCCAGGGUCUGCUGCACUCUUAGUGCCCCCAGACGAGCAGCCGGGUGCUGCCUCAGCUGAAGCUCCUGGGAGCCUCUGCUCAGGUGGCUCUGCUGAUAGAACAAAACCGACCAAGCUUGUCCAGUCUGGAGCAGGGGACAAAGGCGGUCUCAUUCCCACCACUGCUGGGAAAAAUGGACAUAAUUAUCUCAUUAUUCCUGCAGCCUCCACAGCUCCCAGAGAAUGAGUAACUGGUGUGCAACAAUGCCUCUGCUGUAAAUGACGCCCUCAGCACAUUCCACUGAAGCAGAAGAUGGAGGUACAAAGCACUGUCUGCCCUCAGACCACACUCACAUUCAGCAAUGGGGCUUUGGUCCACUGAGCUUUAAGUUUUGAGUUGUUGUUUUUGUUUUGAUUUGAUUUUUUGAAAGUGGGGCAGGGCUUUCUGAUGCUUUAUUUAUUAAAUCAAGGGCAUGGGUGCAUGUUCAGUUUGCAGCGGUUGGAGUUGUGCAAGAAGCCUGUGGCACCCUUGUCCCAGAUGUGACUGGCAUCUUCACUCAGUGGGCAGGAAGGGCACUUGUGUCCUGGCUGUGCCAGUGCAAAUCCGGGGAGUUCCACUUCUUCCUCCUGGAUCUGUCAAAAUGAAUUUUCCUCUUUUGGCAUCAAAAGUGUCCCUGAGAUCCUUGUUUGGAAGGAGGCAAGACUAGGGGGUAGGAACAGGAGAGGUUUUGCCAAGCUUCAUGCAGCCUGCAGACAUCUAAGAGCAGAACUGGAUGUCAUGACUCAGGUUUAGUUGCUUUGCCUUGUUUAAAAGGUGUCCCAUAAAAAGAAAUAGAUGCUGCCAUUAGGAGCAGAGAAGUUUCUUUUGUCAGGCUUCUUCAUGUUUCACUGAUCCAUUGCUGGUUGGUGGAGGUUACUGCAGUGCUGCUGAUGCCUGUCCCAUUAUCUGUGGGUGCCUGAAAUCUGGAGUACCUUUGUUUUUUCUCUUUACUUGUUACUCACGUGAGAAAUAUUAGGAAGCUGUCUCCCAGGUUUUCCUGGAGUGUUUCUGGAAUACUGAAAAGUGUAUCAUUAAGUUUCUUCAUCCUUGUCUGAAAAUUGCAUUGGCUUUCAGGAAAAGAGCUAUUUUGCAUAGUGUUUGUCAGGCAACUGGUUUAAUUAAGUGUUAACAUACAGCAGAAUAUGAUUUUUCAAUGUUUGUUUCAGUUUCCAUUCUGUUGGUUGUGAUGUGAUUUUCAUUGGAGAUGUCUUUGGCAAAAAUUAGGAACUUAAGAUCUCAUGUUUCUAAUGUGUCUUAAAAACAACUAAAAGAGCAGGUGUAAAAAAAACCCAUCCGUACAUUAAUUUUCACUUAGGCCUCAGACAAUUGCAAACCCACAACAACAAAAAUCCAGAGACCUAAGCAUCCUCCUCUGCAGGGAGCAAGGCUGGUGUUGGCUGGCACAGGAGCUUUCUCAGCUGGGCAGAGUGAGGUGGGUGUGGGUGCUCCUCGCAGAGAGCAGAGCAGAGCCAGGGCAGCCCCCGUCACUUUGUCCCAGGUUCUGAUGCUGACUUGCUACAAAAUUUGAAUGCCUCCUAUUCCAGCAGAUAAAACUGGGAAGGGUGACUGUUGCUUGUAGUGAAAGGAGGCAGUGUGUGAAUUGGUGGGGGUUGUGCUUGUGCCUCUGCAAAGUGCUGGAUGGAUGUAAAAUGUCUUUAUUCCCUGUCUGGUCCCAAACCAAAAACCCUGUGAGGCUGUGCAGAGGAGGGAUCCCUCUUCCUUGCAGGCCAUCUGCAAUUCUUCCUGCCAGCAGCCUCUGCUGCUCCCACACUGAGCCUGCAACUCGGUGGUAUGUUGGGGCUGGCUGGCUCUGAGCAAGUGGUGGCUUACACAGAGGGUGGAGCUGUCUGAAAUCCUGCGCCUAACCUCGGCAAGGACAGGCUGUAGCCAAGCAAUAAGACUUCUCCAUCUUUGCCACACCAUCUGUCUUCUUCAACUUUCUGUAAUCUUUCAGCUGCUGGAUUAGAAAUUAUCACUAUGCAGUGCUGGGCUGAAUCCAAAGCAGGGUUCCUCCUUCAAGUGAUUCAGGAGAGGAAAGCCUCGCUGAAAUGUGGUGUAUCUUCCCUCCUCCUCAGGGCCCCUCAGGGUCACACCUGCCCACCUUGGAGCAUCCUGGAAUGGUAGAACUGGAUUUAUGCUUUGUGUCUUGAUAUUUUCCCAUGCCAUGUGCAGGGGUAGAGGGGAUAGCACUUGUGAUUUAGCAGGACAAGUGUUGGGAGAGGAACACAACUGUUAAUUUCUCCUCUAGUCUGGCCUUGGCUAAAUAACAUACUCAAUGCUGAUGCACAUGUGAAAGAAGUUCUGAGUCCUGCACUUGCUCAUUAUCAGUCUGACUUUCCGGAAUCAAAGGGGAAAUUAUCUUUCCUCUGUGUUUUUAGAACCCCAAAUAUUUUGGGGAGUGAGACAAAAUGCUUCUUUCCCUUAUACUGUUUCUAACAUCCAUGUUAUCAGUGUUGCAUUGUCAGAUGUUUUCUUGCUGCUUAAAACAUUUUGCCUCUUCUUCUAGCACCAAAGGCAUUCUGUCCACAGGGGACACAAAAUUUUGUGGUAGGCUCAGCACAGGGUGAUUGGUGCACGAUGCACUGGUGUCACCCAGACACUGGAGCAGGCUCAGUGCCUCUGUGCCACAAACGCAUGCAGGACUCUGGAAUACAGUAGAACAGCUUUCCUGCUCUUACCCAACUGCUGGUACUGCCAGUUUUAGCAGAGUGACUGCUACUAGCUUUUCCUUGAUGUUUCCCAGUUGUAUCUUGUAUCUGGAAGAGUGUUUAGGGACCUGUGGCUUAAGCACCUGGCAGUGACACUGAGGGUAUGACAUCUGCCUACCUACGGAAGUUCUGCCAUGCCAAGGGGCACAGCACAUGCCCAGGGUCCCCCCUGGCAUCUGGAGAAGUCAGUGUGCUGGCUGGGGUGGUGGGGAAGGAGGCAGUGAGCUGUCUCAGUGGGAGGACCAGGGAGAUGCCUGGUUCCUCAUGCCAGUCAAAAGCCAGCAGUAUUUUAUAAAGGGCUGGUGCUGGUGGUUAUAGGCAUUAUUUUAGAAUGUGUUUUAUUCAUGUUGAAAUUUGAACCAGAAGAGGAACAGCUUAGUUGGUUAUGCAGUAUCAGAAGGAAUAGGGAGACAUUAAAAUGUAUCUGGGUGAGCAAAGCUGGGUGCACAGAGAGGCAGAAAAUCUCAGCAGUGAGAAGGGGUCCUUUGGUAGCACUUACUUUUCUGACAGAAGCUGCACUUUUGUUGCUGCUCUGUGAGGUGCAGUGCAGAAAGGAUGACUGCCUGGAGGGUGCUGCUGGGAGGUGAAGCUGUGUGCAGUUUCCUCAGGGAAGCAGCAGUUCCUUUUGUGAGCCAUUGCUCUGUGUGUGCCUGUGUUAAUGGUGCUGAUUUGCCACUCAGUGUCAUAUGUCCCUACCUCCCAAAAGAACCUGCAUUAUGGAAAGGGAACAGGGAGGGGAAAGGAAAGAUGAGAAGCAGGGGAUUUACAGGCUUGCAGGGAGGUGAUGUGGACAAUGCCUACAUGAGAUACUGCAGGCAGAAGUAAACUCACUUGACCUCCUAUCUGAGCCCAUGGAUGAAAGCCAGCAUUGGUCUGGAAGCCAUGAGAUUGCUUCAGUGCAGCACUGGAUAUAGGCUCAUGCUCCUUGCAUCUCAGCAUGCCAACCACAGCUGUGCAGCUUCAUCCUGGCUGAAUCCAGAGCAGGGUUCCUCCUUCAAGUGAUUCUGCCUGCAGUACUCCAGGUAAAUAUACCCGUGGUGUUGCAGGUGCCACCUUCUGCUUGUAAUCCCUGCUUUUCCCAAAGCGCAGCCCACCCGGAGCCCACCAAGUGCAUGUUUAAGGGAGGGCUCCUCAGGCUGUCCCCUAAAUGAGUCAAAUGACUCUAAUGUGCACCAGCUGGUCCCAUCACCUUCAGAUGUAAUUGUUUAAUGUACAUGUUGUACAUCGGCUUAGCAACUUGACAGUGCUGUGGUUCACACAGAAAUAUCACAAUGCAACACUGCAGCAUGACCAUUUCUCCUGAACUGCACCUUUAAAAAUAACAGGCUGAAGAUCCCAAUUUCUGUUUCUCUGCAAGGCUGAAUGUUCCCAUGCUGUGGAUGCCGCUGUUGUCCUAGCAGAGUGUCAGUGUUUGGGAAGUCACUUGCUACAGUGGCUGGAGGAUUAAGUUCAGAAGGGGUGGGUUUGCCCUGAGGAAUGAUCCCCAAAAUUGCUGAUUUGGAGAGUCCCUUCUAUUCUCUGCAGUUGUUUGCACACAAACCUAUCAUCUAUUCUCGUCCUGGGAUUUACUGUUUAUAUGGAGGAGAACAAAUAAAGAUUCUUCUCCAAUUUCAAUGGAAGCCAGGGAGCUUUUAAGCAGGCAGGGCAGCUACUGGCAUCCCUGUCUCUCUGCUGAAGAAAUGGGCUGACUGCUAAGAGAGAUGUGAGAUGUCACAGUUCCUUUUCAUCUGAGGGAUGAAAAACACUGUACAGGCAUUUAAGCUUUACAAAAUCUCCCUGCAAGAUGUAGGAGGAAUUUUUUUACAAAUGGAGAAACUGAGACAAAAUGCCUUGCUGCUGCUUGAUCCAUUCAUUACUGAAAGAAUUGAGGACAGAAGUUGGGACACCUAUUCAUAGCACUGACCACAAGGUCCUCCCUCCCUGUCACCUUGGGAGGGAUGUAGCCUGUGCAGCACUGCUCCUGGGAGGGCAUUCAGUGUCUACCUUGGUCAGGACACUAUUUUGCAGAUGUGUCUCCUGCAUUUUUGCAGUGACAUUGCCUCUGACCUGUAUUUCUUACAGAUAUUUUGUUUCACCACCCCAUUUCUACUAUGUCAGCCUGCAAGACCCAUCUGUAUGUGCUUCCCAUUCCCUAUCCCUCCCCAUGUUCAAUCUAUGCCAGUGUACUGCUUACUUGAAUCCUAAAAACUCUCACCUUGUGUGGGCAUUUUGUUUUCCUGCUUGUGGUUCUGUGCUGCCCUUUCUGUAUUGCCCUGCCAGCUGUGGCACAAACAAAACCUGUCUGUGGGGGAAGGGAGCAGGCUGGGGAUGCCCAUCCUCAGGGACAUGUUGUGAAUGAGAGAUGCUACUCUGUCCUCCCUUCCCUGCAGUGAGCUGACCAUCUGCUUACCUUAAUGGACUAGAGAUUAGCCUGGGGGUUAAGUUAUCAACAUAAUUAACCUAGAUUUCUCCUCUACAGCUGAGGCAAUUUUUACUUAUCUGCUGCUCAGGUGAUGUUGUGAAAUUCCGACGGCUCUCGAGGAACAACAGAAACUGGAGCAAGUGGAGGGGAAAACUUUCAAAGUUUGAAAUUACUCUGAAGCCCCCAAGGCGCAGAGAUGAGAGAUGAUGAAGCUUGUGCAGAGUCACGUAUGUUCUCAGCUAUGAGAACAGCAUUGAAGAGAAGUCUAAUAUAUUAUUAAUACUGCCUGUUCCUUACGUGGAGGGCUUUUCAGGUCUGUGUCUCAAACAAGACAGGCAAGACUCAUUACCUCUGUUUAUGAAAAUUUGUUCCUUAAACACAUGCAGAAAGCUAACAAAUUGAAAAUAUUACAAUCCCUGGGUUUCUGUCCAGGUGACUUUUAUCAUCUACCUGUAGGACACUUCCCAGCCUGUGCUCAGUGGUUCAGUGACAGACUAUUGUUCCAUCCUGUACUCAUGUAACACCAGAAACUCUCUUCAUUCUGGCUGAGGAUGCUAGAGCUAAUGUGACUCUACAGCCACGUGUGGGUGGCUUUUAUGCUACAUUUUCCUUGACAGUAAAAUAUUGCAAAUGCCACUUCAGAGCAUCCCUAGCUGCCUUUCCUGCCCUAGAUUCAGGCAGUUUGUGGAUAGUGCUAUCAGACUUGUGCUCAGGCAGCCUUCCUUUGCAGGGCCCCAAGUUUCAAAGGGCACCAAGUUUCCUUCACACACCCCCUGAAUUCUUCUGCCUGUGGCUGUGGCAUUGAGGCCGCGUGCCUUUGCACUUGGAUUCAGCUUGCCCUGGGUGGGCAUCCCUUGUGGAGGCUGUGAGUGAGGGAGCCCUGUCUGACCCAUCCCCGUGCCAGAGGACGUGCCACUCGAACGAUCACUGUAAUUACCAGCCUGGAAGCUUUUAAUCCCUUGGUUCAAUAAAACCAACAAAUGGAGUAGGAAACUGCAGCCGGCUGGAGGACAGCCCCGCCAGGAGCAAUGAGAUAUGUGAAUGAAUGAACACCCUCAUCCUGCCAGAGACCCCUCAUCUUCCUAAUGGUGAAAUUAGCAUGCAGCUUUGGUCAGAUCCCAUGCACAGCUCGGUGCUCAGCUGCAGACAUCUCAUUGGCACCGAGGCAGGCAAGCUAGAAGGAGUUCAAAGAGUAACAACGAUUAGGGUGCUGGAGGGGAGCUGAGGUGUGGAGAACAAUUAAAGCAACUGAGUGUGUUUAUCGUGGAAAAUUGGUGAUUAAGGGGGGAAACCUAACUGUCUUCCUGUAAUUUGAAGGGUGUGAAUUUGAGGUAGAGGAGCUGAUCAGAAGGGUAGCAGGAGGUAUACAAGUAGGAGGGAUGUGCUACAUCUCAAGGAAAGAAAUGUAGGUAGAAUAUCAAGCGAAUUCUUAAUUACAUUUUUUGGUCUGGCUUAUGAGUGACAAUGGUAAGGAUAUGGUUUUUUUCUGAUGCAUAUAUACAGACAGAAAAAUGCUGGAGGAGAGACCCUCUAGUAGUAAAUUAUCCUGUGCAGCAAGGGCUGGACUGCCUGAGUCCAUACAUGCUUGGUCCCCUUCUCCACAUCUUUUUUGUUCUUUACAAAUAUAUAUAUAUAUAUCUAGGAGGAAACAAACAGCAUCCCCACUUGUGAUUUUCAGUGGAGACAUGUUGCAAAUGUUACAUUUUCCAGUAACACUUUACCCCACACUGUCACUGUAAAAUCUGUCUGCUGUCAAACUGCAGUGGGGUGUCAGUCCUCACGUCUCUGCUAAGGUCUGGGAAGGAUUUGGAGGACAUUAAGAGCACCCAACGCCCCCAGACUCUGCUUAGAGCAGCUGUCCUUGGUGAAAUGGGGGGAGCCCUGGUGGGGGAGCCCUGCUGUUGCUGAGUUUGGAGAUAGAAAAGGCUCAGACCAUGCCUGUAUUGAUUUUGUAUGUAGUGCUUGGUAUGGUGAAUCAGUGUGCCCACCACGCUGCUGGGCUUGCGCUCCGCUUUUCAAUUAAGGCUUAAAAUUGGCAGAACUGUCUUUUUGGGUGGCAGAGACCAGUCACAGUGUAGGGAGGUUCUCCCUUGUCUUGGAUGUGAAGGAUUUGAGUUUCCUUAUGAGGGGUUUGCAAACCCUAUCUGUGCUCUUGGAAGCAUUAGAGGACCUGUAGCUGGAGCACAAUGACAGGCACCUAAUGUGUUUGUGCUUUGUUGUCCCAUGAUUGUGCCCAUGUAGAAAAGGCAGGAUCACUCUUCUGACAGGCAGGUGAAACAUUUACUUGAGUGCUUCUAGUGAUGGCUGUGCUGCAGCUUUCUCGCUAUUUCAAAUGAUACCCCACCACCCCUCCCAGGAAGCCUCCCUAUACACUGGGACAUAUAUUAUACUAGGGAUUGUUUCCUGUUUAUAGAACCAUAGAAUCACAGAAUAUGCUGAGCAGAAGGGACCCAUCAUGGUCAUUGUGUCAAACUCCUGGCCCUGCACAGGACACCCCUACAGUCACACCAUGUGCCUGAGAGCAUUGUCCAAAUGCUUCUUGAACUCUGUCAGGCUUGGUGCUGUGUCCACUUCCCUGGGGAGCCAGUUCCAGUGCUCAAGCACCCUCUGGGGGAAAAAUAUUUUCCUUGAUAUCCAAACUAAACCUGCCCUGACUCAGCUUCAUGCUGUUUCCUUGAGCCCUGUCACUGGUCACGAAAGUGAAGAGAUGUGUACCUUCCCUUCCCUUUCUCUCCUGAGGAUCCCAAAGACCACCAUGAGGGCUCCUCUUGUCCAGGCUGAACAAACCAAGUGAGCCACUCCUCACAAGGCUUCCUCUCCAGACCCCUCACCAGCCUUGUGGACCUCUUUUGGACAUUUUCUAACAGCCUAAUGUCUUUCUUAUAUUGCAGUGCCCAAAACUGCCCCAGCACUUGAGGUGAAGCUGCCCCAGUGCAGAGCAGAGCAGGACAAUCCCCUCCCUUGCCCAGCUGUGAUGCUGUGCCUGAUGCCUCCCCAGGGCACAAUUGGCCCUCCUGGUUGCCAGGGCACUGCUCAUUCAGAUUCUGCUUUCCAUCAGCCAAGACCAUCAGGUCCCUUUCCACAGAGCUUUUCUCCAGCCACUUGUUCCCCAGUCUGCACACAGAACCAGGGGUGCCCCAUGCAGACUCUGGCACUUGCCCUUCUUAAACUUCAUAUGGUUGAUAUAUAUGAAGUUUACACAUAUGGUUGAUCUAUAUGAAGUUUACACAUUCACCACCUCCCCCACCCCUUCCCUGCCCUGCUCUGCAGCUGCCUGCAUGCUUUCCAUAGGAUUUGCAGAGUAUUUUUGUCGGCAGGAAACGUUGCUUAGAAUGUUUUGCAAGCAUCUCACCUCAGUGAUCUCCAAAAUAAUGUGUUUUCCAAGUUUGCAGGCACCCACGCUAUCUGUAAUGCACACAAAUUACUCACCUUUCGCCUGAUCUCUUCUCCUGCUCCUGCCUUCCUUUCUCUGCAAACCUGCAUGAUAUCCCCCUAAUUGUGUUGCUGUUUUUCACACCAGCUGCCCAAAGGCUGUGACACCAGGUACUAGCAUGGCAAACACUGCCAUAGUGCCCGUGCUCUACCAUGGUUCUUACCUGGGGCAGCUGCUCCCCAUCUUCAUCAUCCUAACACGGAGUGACUCAGCUCAGCUGCCCCUGCAGUAACCUGCCUCGCCAUGAAUUGGAGACCUUUACAGCUGAAGGUUUGCCUCUAACAUCUUUUUUUAGCUUGCCAGAUUCUCUGCUCUGUGACUGCUUGCAGACAACGUUGCAAGUUUUAUUUCCAAAGCAGGCAGCAUCGUAAUUAAGAGGUCCCAAAAUGAACUCAGCCUUUCAAUAGCAAAGCAUAAUAAAAUCAGCUCCUAACAAGACUGAUGGGAGAGCAGUCAGGCUGUUUCAGCAUCCACAUAGACAUUUUACCUGACAGAAUAAUAGCCAGUUUCUUUCAGCUGUUAAGUCCACCUUCUCUGUUAGGAUCUGUCAGCUGCUCUCACCUCAGGAACCACCAACAAAGGGGUACAUCCUUGUCUUUCUGGGGAGGUAACAGCACCCCAGCUAAGACGUAGAAGCUUUCAGCCUGGCAAAUUUCCAAACACCUCUAGAGAGGAAAAUCCUGCCACUGGCAGGCACUGACUGUAGAGUCAGAUAAUGCAACCAAUGGCAACUGCAGGACUGAUCCUUUACCUCCUCCCCACAGGCAGGCAGCUCUGAACAGCUGUGGUCUAUGACAGCAUGUAGAAAAUCAGGGUCUGUAGCAUUAUGUUGACAUAGACAACCAAAUUUUGAGACCUGUGUCUUGAGAAACUGAAGGCAUCUUUCUCUCAGGCAGACUUGUAUCAGCUAUUUCACAGCCAAUACAUAUUUGCUACACACUAAAAUAUUUGCUGACUUGCAGCUAGGCUGGUAUGCUCUGGGAGGCUCCAUCUCUGUGUUAUGGCCCACUUUGGGUGCUGCCUGGUCCUAAUUUGCUUCAAGAGAUGCAAUUGAGCUGCUGGUCCUGGCUCUAGCAAUGCUUAAUGAACCUCUCAGUCAACUGGCCUGGAUAAAAUUUGGCUGGGUCUUGUUACGGGUCUUACCUUCCUUGUCUGACAAGGUCUAGCAACAAGCUGCUUGAUGGUCAUCAUGUUAUUGUCAUCCUGUGUCUGUGAGAGAAGGCAGGUGCUUGCCGAAUGAGCAAAGGAUUCUGGAACCCUGAAAAAGCUUGAACUUCUUGCCCAGGCAAAGGUAAAGAUCCUUCCUUGAAGGUAUUCCAAACCCACAAGACUUUGUGGGACAGUGUGGGUGCAGAACAAGAGUAUCCUUUCCCCUUUGUGUCCAAUCCCUUCUCAACUCAGGGAGCCACUGGCUGCCUGCUUUGCUGAGGCUGGUCAGGGUGGCCACACAGUGCUGAGGAUGUGCCUGCCAGCAGGGAGCAAGCCUGGACUGAAUCUGCACCAGGGAACAAAGCUGUGCACAGGGACAGUUCUUCUUUUCCCCUGCUCCCUGCCAGGAGACGAGGCAACUCCUUGCCUGGGUCCUUCUUGCAGGGAGGGGGUUGGUGGCUGGUGUCGUGCUGGAGGGAGCUGGCAGUGCUGGCAGGGACUGUGGGGACAGGGUGCAGAGCUGUGUUGUAGGACAGGGCACCUGUGCAAGUGGCUGUCAGUCUCCUGGCAUCUCCAGAGUGCUUGACAGCUGGGAACACAAUGCAGACAAUGCUUAUGUGAAAGGAAGCGACAGCAAGGAAAUGGAAACCUUUGGAAGCAUACCAGAGAGUGAAGCCUCAUCAUAACAUACCCCCAGGCCAGAUGAGAAUUACUUCAAUGCAAUGAUUCAUUACUUUUUUCCUCUGCUUUUCUCUCACCAAGGAGAGGCUACAGAUUUUGAUUCGUGUUGCUGAGUAUGUAAAAUAUCAUGUUGCACACUUCAAGAAAAUGCUGGCCAAAUAAAAUAUGAGUCCUGCACUGAAAAGCUAAUUUAAAUGAGUUUUCAGAAUAGCAGAGCCUUGGCUUUCUAGAAUCAUAGUAGUUUAGUGUUUGCUUUAUUUUGCAAAACGAACCCAAAUACUUUGACGCUUCCGCUGGUCAACCACAAAGUCCAGGGAGAAGUUUUCCCUAGCACCUCCUGCCAUGUAAGUUUAUAUUUGUUAUUGGAGGUAUCUGUGUCUUGUAUUUUCACCAGAUUUCAGACUGAUUUCUGUGUAACAAGGUAGGAUGAAGCCCUCUCUUAUUAGAGCCUGGAUGCCAUGGAGAUGUGAUAGACCAUGUGGUGACCAUCUCUCUUUUCCUUUUUGCCAUACAGGCAGAAAAACAGUAUCUGGUAUCGGAUUUUACUUUCUCCUGAGAGGGACGAAAAAAGAUGGGAAUAAUAUUACAGUGGACAUGUAUGCUGGUGCCACAACUGUCAUUAAGAACCUUUAGAGGCCAGUGGGCAUCCCUAACUACUGGUCACAUCAGGACUGGGGACCAACAUUUGCCCACAGUGGAGCUAUGAUGGCCAAACAGCUUAUUUCUCCUCUGCAUCUUGAUCUAUUUCAAUCUUGUAGAGCAGAAAGUGGUUAUGAUCAUUUAUCAUUUGAUGAGCUUCAGCUUUGUGUCUGGCAGAUACUAAUGGAGAAAAUGUUGUCAUCCAAACCCAAGCAGCCUUCAGCUGGAGUUAAAUUACAGUACUGCUGAAGAGCUACA